GGGCCUGUAGCAUAACCAGGAUAGUGCGGUCGGCUUCGGACCGAUUGAUCAGGGAUAUUGCAAGUUUAUUUUUGCAGUACUGAACUUCGAAUCCCUGCAGGCUCA
rnacentral:tRNA from 1 species